rnacentral:ncRNA from 1 species
UUGUCAGGACUUCACAUGUCACGAAUCCUCUUGAAAGAGGGGGGUGCCUCCGGGAAUACGGAGACAGGUGGUAGGUGGUGCAUGGUUGUCGUCAGCUCGUGCCAUAAGGUAUUGGGUUAAGUCCCCCAGCGAGCACAACUCUCAUAUUUAAUUGUCAACAUUUAGUUUGAAACCCUAAACACCGAGGAAGAUGAGAAUGAUGUCAAGUCAUGAUGCCUUCAACAUUUUGA